rnacentral:misc_RNA from 1 species
UUAUUAGAUUAUAAUAAGACUACGUUUGUUACAUUAAUUGUUUGUUAAAAAGGGCAGACGAUGACUCGGCCAAGGACCUCAUCAUGCGCAUUACAGUUCACAGGUGUUGGGAUGUGAGUUAAGCGAGGGCCUUGCCGAAGCGAAGACACCAAGCAUGUUUAAUUCACUAAUGCUCCCUCCGCAGGUUCAACUACGGAAA